GACGAACGCUGGCGGCGUGCUUAACACAUGCAAGUCGAACGGUAAGGCCCUGCUUUUGUGGGUUGCUCGAGUGGCGAACGGGUGAGUAACACGUGAGUAACCUGCCCUUGACUUUUGGAUAACUUCAUGAAACUGGGGCUUAUUCCGGAUAAGAUCUCCUGCUGCAUUGUGGUGGUUGGAAAGUUUGGGCGGUUGGGGAUGGUCUCGCGGGUUAUCAUAUUGUUGUUGGUGACGUGUCUUACCACGGCUUUGAUGAGUCGCCGGCGUGAGAGGGUGACCGGCACAAUUGGGAGAGGGAUACGGCCCGGAGUACUACGGGAGGCAGGAGUGGGGAAUAAUGCACGAUCGGCGGAAGCCUGAUGCAGCAACACCGCGUGCGGGAUGAAGGGCUUCGGGUUGUAAGCCGCUUUCGACUGUGACGAAGCGUAAGUGACGGUAAUGGGUAAAGAAGCAACGGCUAACUACGUG
rnacentral:rRNA from 1 species